ACUGACGCUCAUGCACGAAAGCGUGGGUAUCGAACAGGAUUAGAUACCCUGGUAGUCCACGCGGUAAACGAUGAUAACUAGUUAUUCGGCGCGACUGAGCGCUGAGUGACCGAGCGAAAGCGUUAAGUUAUCCACCUGGGGAGUACGCCGGCAACGGUGAAACUCAAAGGAAUUGACGGGGGCCCGCACAAGCGGAGGAACAUGUGGUUUAAUUCGAUGAUACGCGAGGAACCUUACCCGGGCUCAAACGCAGCGCGACAGACCCUGAAAGGGGUUUUUCUUCGGACGCGCUGCGAGGUGCUGCAUGGUUGUCGUCAGCUCGUGCCGUGAGGUGUCGGCUUAAGUGCCAUAACGAGCGCAACCCCCAUCUUCAGUCGCCCCCGGGUAAAGCCGGGCACUCUGGAGAGACUGCCGGCGCAAGCUGUGAGGAAGGCGGGGAUGACGUCAAAUCAGCACGGCCCUUACGUCCGGGGCGACACACGUGUUACAAUGGCGGGGCAACAGAGGGAAGCCAGGCGGCGACGCCGAGCGGAUCCCGAAAACCCGUCUCAGUUCGGAUCGGAGUCUGCAACCCGACUCCGUGAAGCUGGAUUCGCUAGU
rnacentral:rRNA from 1 species